CUAGAGUACAGUACAAUAUAUCGAUUGCAAAAUAAAGAUGGGAGAUUGUCAAUUUUUUUCUAUUGAAAUUUAAUUUCCGACAUUAUAAUUUUACAGUACUAAUUUAUUUUAAAUAAACUUUUAUUCAUAUUUUUUAAAAAUUACAUAAAUCGAAUAUGUUGAAAUUAAAAUAAAAAAUGUUAAAUACUAAAAAUAAGAAAAAUUCUUAUUCUUAUUUUCUAUUUUUUCUAAUCUAUUCAUAUCCUUAUUUUUAUUUAUUCUAAUCUUUUUUUAUUAUUUAUAGGCUGAAAGGAUAUCAAUAAAAAUAAUAAAUAAAAAAUUUAAAAAGAUAUUUUAACCUUCAAUGGAUAUUUGUUUUUCACAUAAAAUGCAACAAAUACAUUUUUUAAACUUUUUUUCUUAUAAUUAACAUUUUGCAAACUGCAAAUGCUAUAUCAGGCCUUGUACAAUGCAUAGCAUACAUCAAGCUACCAAUAGCACUAGCAUAUUCUAGUUGUGCUACUAUUCGGUCUGAAUUCUCUAGUAAUUUAAUACUAGAAUCACAUGGGGUAUUAGCCUCUAUAUAAUGAGAUUGACACAACGAGUAACCUCCACUAUGUUUCUUCACUUUGACACUUAAGAUAGUAUCUACUUCACCAAGAUCUUUCAUCUUAAAUUGUGAAGUUAAAUAAUUCUUCGUAUCAUCUACUCCUUGCAUAUUUGUUCCAAAAAUAAGCAAGUCAUCAACAUACAAGCAUAUAAUCACACCAAAAUCAUUCGUAAAUUUAAAAUAUAUACAUUUAUUAGCAUUAUUAUGCUUAAAACCAUGAGAUAAAAUUACCGAAUCAAACUUCUCAUGCCAUUGUUUUGGUGCUUGCUUUAAACCAUAAAGUGAUUUGACUAACUUGCAUAUCUUUUUCUCAUUUCCUGGCAAAACAAAUCCCUCAGGUUGUUCCAUAUAGAUUUCUUAAUCAAGAUCACCAUUAAGAAAAGUGGUUUUAACAUCCAUUUGAUGCACAUACAAAUUGUUCAAUAAAGCAAUUGCAAAUAGCACUCUUAUAGAAGUUAACCUUGCUACCGGAGCAUAUGUAUCGAAAUAAUUAAACCCUUUGGCUACUAAUCUAGCCUUAAAAGUUUGCAAAGAACCAUCACUAUUGUAUUUUCUUCUAAAUACCCAUUUGCUGCUAAUUGGUUUAGAUCCUAGAGGAAGAUCAACCAAGACCCAUGUUUGAUUCGACAUAAUCGAAUCAAUUUCAUCAUUUACCGACUCUCUCCAAAAAGAAACGUCUCUAGAAGACAUAGCUUCGCUAAAUGUCUUUAGAUCUUUUUCAAUAUUUAACAACAAUGGUACUUUGUUAAGUACAUUCUUUCUAUCCCCUUCAACUAAGAAGAGUAGUGCUUGUGAUGAAAUAAAAUCCGGAGCUAAACUCUUUUCUUUCUUUUCAUGUUGACUCCUCCUUGGUUCGAAAGAUGUCAUAGACUCUUUCCUUUUAUUAUUGUUAGUGGAGGUAACAAGAGUAUUAACACAUGGUUGAUCAAUAAUUGAUUCUAAUUCAAUAUUAGAAUCAUGUUGAAAUUUAUUCUAAAUAAAUUCAACAUCUCUAGAUUCCACAAUCACAUUAGAAUCUAAAUUUAACAACCUAUAAGACUUGGAAUUUUCAGCAUAUCCUACGAAAACACUCUUUAUACAUCUAGCACUUAACUUUGAUGAUUUAGGAUCAUGUAUUUUAUAAAAAGCUAAACAACCCCAGACCCUUAAAUACAUCAAGUUUGGUUUUCUUCCUUUCUAAAUUUCAUAAGGAGAUAUAUGUGUUUUCAAAGAUGUAAUUCUGUUAUGAAUAUGACAUGCAGUGAGUAAUGCUUCCCCCCACAAAUUAUUUGGUAGUUUUGCAUUAAGGAUCAUGGAAUUUAUCAUAUCCAUGAAGAUCAUAUUCUUCCUUUCAGCCAAAUCAUUUUGUUGAGGAGUAAAUAGAGCUAAUCUUUGGUGAAUAAUUCUAAAUCCUUCACAAUAAUUAUCAAAUUCAAUUGAGAAAUAUUCACCACCUCUAUCACUACGAACCAUUUUGAUUUUCUUAUCUUUUUGGUUCUCAACUUCAGCUUUAAAAAUUUUAAAUUUAUCAAAAGCUUCAUUUUUUGUUCUAAGUAAAUACACAUAAGUGUAUCUAGAAUAAUCAUCAAUAAAAGUGAUAAAGUACCUCUUACCUCCUCAUGUUAAAACGCCAAUAUACUCACAAAUAUCGGUAUAUAUUAAAUCCAAUAUUUGAAUAUUUCAUUCGACUUUAGGAAAAGGUUUCUUAGUUAAUUUAGCUUGGAUGCAGAUUUCACACUUAUGACCUUUAACAUCAUUGCAAUUAAUCAAACCAUGCUUAGACAUGUAUUUCAAAGAUCUAAAAUUCAAAUGUGCUAAUCUAGCAUGCCAAACAUCACAAGACUCAACAAUAUAAGCUCAGUUGAUAUUAUUAUUAUUAAUGCUGAGUUUGUACAUUCCAUCACAAAAAUACUUUUUUCCCAACAAAUAAUCCAUUCUUUGAGAUAAUACAAGUAUUACCCUCAAGCACAAUCUUAAGCCCAUGCUUACACGUACAACUAGCAAAAAUAAGAUUUUUCCUAACGGAAGGUACAUGAAAGACAUUAGACAAUGUGACUUUCUUUCUAAAAGUAAAGUUGAUCUCAACUACUCAUUUCCCUGCUACUAUGGUUGCAUUAUUAUUCCCCAUGAGAACCAUUUGUCCUUUCGUUUUUUUUUUGUACGAUAAGAAAAAAUUUCUUAUCAUUGCAAACAUGAAUUGUUGCACCCGAAUCGAGCCACCAAUCAUAGGACUUAGUUUCAGGCAUAUUGGUUUCGGUAAUCAUGUCAAUUUGCAUUUCAGAAACCAUAGCACAAAUCUCUUCAUAUUUGUUUUAAAUAACAUUAGCUUUAUGGGAAUUUACUUCUUCCUUUUUCUUCUUGAAUCUGCAAUCACUUUGGCGAUGGCCUUUCUUGUCAUUAAUUCAUUAUUAAUUUUUCUAAGAAAAAGAUUAAAUUCUUUAUCUGUCUAAAAAAUAUACGAAUUAUUUAAUAUUAUAAAAUUCCGUUCUGCACUUUAUAAAGAAAAUUAUUAAAUUUAUUGACUUUUCCUUUUUGAAAUUUCUUAUUAUCUUGUUCAUUGUUAACAUUCAAGAUAUAGUCAAAAAUUAAUUGAAUUUUGAGCUUUUUUAUUUUAGUGUUGAAGCUGCUAAAUAUAAGGAGACCUUAUAAAAAUAAUUUGCCUAAAGCCCCAAUACUAUUGAGCCAAUCCUAUUCAAAAAAUAUAUUUUAUAAAUAAUAUACUUUAGGAGGACCAUCAGUGGCACAUGGAGAUUGGAAGGGGUAAAAGAGACAUUUGAAAUGUAUUGUAUAAAUUCAAUUAUUUUAUGUUUUAUUUAUUAAGUUUAUAUGUAAUUUAUAAAAUUUAUAUUUAUUGCGAUAUUGAUAACAUAAUUUUAGUCACGGUAUUAUGCAUUUUCCCUCAGUAUAUUAUUUUUCUUUCUAUCAAUAAGCAUUUAAUGACUCAGCCAAUUUAUUUAUUGUAAUUAAUAGAACUGUAUGCCACAAUAAUUGUGCACAGCCAAUUCAUGUACACGUGUAACAUGAUUCAUACACGUUCCCUUGGACAAAUAAUUUAGGUGGACACGAGGAAAUUGUUUUCUAAUAACAAAAUACUUUAAAUUUUUUAAUUGUCGACGUUCAAUCUUUGUCCAUUCUGCAAUAAGUUUUUUUUUUUUUUUUUAACAUAGAAUCUGAGGGAUAAAGAUAUGGUUUUCUUAAGAUACAUUUAUUAUAACUUAUAAUUAGGUUUUUUAGUGUAAAAAUAAAUAACCGUGUAAUAUGAUGUCAGGUAGAUCAACGAAUGAAUUUUAUUUAAUUAUAAAUUACAUUAAACAUAACUUAUGGAGACCCUAAGGAUGUUUGUAAAAGAUAAAUAAAGUUGACGAAUCUGAAGCUCAUUUGUCAAUAAAAUUGAUGACUUUGAAACUCAGUUAUCAAUAAACAUUCCGAUCACAGCCAUUUCAAAUCACCAUAACCUAUCAUCCCUCAAAACAACUGAACAAGUUAAGCCGAUUUAUUCACUUCCUUCUCCAAAGCAUUAAAUGCGCUCUUGUUCGACGUGAACUGAUCUCAAAUGCUAUAACUCACAGUUAGCUAGAAGAAAGAAGAUAAAUAGCUUAAACAAGAGGGACACAAUUAUUGCGAUUUCGUCAAAUUAAUGGAUUUUUGGGUUAGUUUUGAAGAACACCCAAAUGUUUUGGCAAAUUUUUCUGCGCACCCACCUAUUUUCACAACUAUCUCUGCACACUGAAAAUGUUAAAAUUUUUCGUCAGUUCCCCUUUUUUAUUGUCUUUUUAUUUCAUUCCAAUUCAUAUAUGAAGGUAAUAUCUUUUCAUGGAUAUGGGUCCAUGAUUUUUGCCCCAUCCAAAUACUGUUACGGCAUGGUUUUGAGUUCUAUUACUGCGAUUUUAUACAAAGAUGUGUUUUUCUUGUAGAUUGAAGAUUUUGAGCUCCAUUUCAAAAAAAUGUACAAGGUAUAGAUUAAUUUCUACAUGAGAUUUACUAACAGAAGUGGAGAUUCUUAAAUUAAAAGAGUUAAGGCAUAUUUUUAUUUGUAAAAAAUAAAAAUUACAAGGAUAAAACAGGAGAUGCAAGUAAUUAAACACUUAAAUUAUAAAAAUGACAACAGUUAGAUCGGAAUGCUUUAACUCUAAUGACUGACUCCGAACAAGAUAAACUGGGGUUAGGUAUCCUAAAGGCAACAUAGCUGGACCUUUUCAUUUUUUUUUUCAUUUUUUUAACGUGAUAUAUCGUGUGGUGGCCAUAUGUCACCAGUCAAAUAUUAUUUUAAUUCGCUCUUUAUUAUAAAUUUUGAGAGACUACGAGAUAUAGUACCUAUUUCGGUCGCUUAAUUUCGAGUUAUGUCACGUGAAAAAUGAAGCUAAAUAGGGCAAAAACAACGGACAAAUACAAAUUAUCCUUGCACAACUUUUUUUUUCUUUGCAUGUCGGAUUAUUAGUGGUGGUAAAUUUUGAAGAAUUAGUUAAUUGAUCUUCUUCUUUUCCUUCAUGAAAUUCUUGAUUUCACACUUCUAGAUAUGAAAGGACUCUAAAAGUUAACUAAUAAUUAUCACCUAGCACUGCUAAUUCAUCAGUUUCACACACUGAUAAUAAUAAAAAAAUUUAGAAGUUCUUCAUCCCAGUUAGAUAGAUGGAUGAUUUCUUCAUCACAUCUAUAAGAAAUUAAUAUAAUUUGGAGGAAUUUUACAAAUAUAUCAAAGGUAAUACAACUGAUGAAUAUAUGUAUGAUAUGUGUGAUUGAAUUUAAUGUAUACAUCACUUGUAUGGUGGUUUUUUAAAAUAAAUAUAUAUAUGUCAUAGCAUCAUUUGUUUGUUGUACAACUGACAUGAUAUCUCUAGUGUAUUUUAAAAAAAUUUCAUAAUUUGUAUAAACUUCACUUGUACCAAUAAUAAUAGCCCAAAGGUUCAAUUCAUACGAAACGGCUGAAAAAUAAAUAUGGAAGUAUACCCUUAACAUAAUUUCAAUAUAAAUAAUUGAUGGACACUGAUUUGGGCAAUUAAUCAUUCAAUUAGUUAACGAAAAUUUAGAUACUGAUUUGGGCAGUUGAUGUAAAUCUAAUAAAUAACAAACCCCUCAUUACUUGUUAAAUACAUACCUCGGCAAGAUCAUUAAUGGGAUCCACUAUAACAUCUUCAUUAUCCACCGAAGAGCCAAGAUCGUUAAUCUGCAUGCCGUGGAUUCUGGAUUUCAUAGCUUUAGCCUUAACAUAAGCCGGGAAAAUUUUCGAACCUCUACUCCAUCUUUGAGCCAUCUAAUUUUAGCCUUAUGCCUUGGUCCCUCAAAAUUGGGGGAUAAAUCUUUGGAGUAUGCGCUGGUUGAAAGUUGGAAUAUAUCUGACAUUGAAAGUUGGAAUAUAUUUGACAGUGUUCAUUUUAUAAAUUUACAGUUUGGAAAUGUAAAAAUUGUAUGGGUGAUUUUGUUUACUUUCAAUACGAUCUCUGUAUGGUAGGUAUUAUUUGGUUUUGUUACAUGAAAUUAGCAAGAUUUUUCCAUGGAGCUCGGAACAGUUCAUCUCCUUUCAUGUGUUACUUUCUGAUGCUCAAAAACGAUAUUGUUUACUUACAGCCAAACAAUUUAGUUUUGAAGUGAUAGUGUUUACUUUUGCGGACUAUAUACUAUUUAUGGCCAACUUGAAAGGUCAUUUAAUUUUUUUAAUUUUUUUAUAUAAAAGUCAAAUAGGUAAUUUUGAUUUUUUUCGGAGAUCAUUUUCAUUUUCAUUUUCAUUUUCUUUUCUGUGAUCCUUUUGAGUCCAAAAUUAUUUAAUAUUGUUUUUAAAUUUUUUAAAAGAUAAGUGUGGGUAAAAUCUAAAUUUUCACUCAGAUGACCUAUAGAAAAAUAAUGCUAAGAGAGAAAUUUUUGUCUUUUUUAAGAACCUUGGCGAGUCAGGUAAUUUUAUUUAUAAAAGUAACAUACUAAAACGAGGAUCGUUGUCCAUUUAUUACAGGUAAAUAAAAAGAUACAAUGCAUACUAAAGUUGACGAACACCAAUGCAUGCAUUCGAAAGUUUUGGCACAAGAUCCCGACUUCAGCAAGUCUAGAUAGAGAUGCUGUAUGGAACUCCUUUCCCUUUGUCUCCAUCUUUCCAAUAUGGCUUCAAGAGAUUAUAUGGAACAACCCCAGCUCCAUUUCUGUUCACCAAAGUGCUAUCUUCAUUCCUUUCAUCAAUGAUUCCUUCAAGCUCCAUCAACCUGCCACUAAACUUCUCGAAUGCACCGUUUAUGACUGGAUCUUCACCCCAUGCUGGCUCCUUAUCUUUCCCUAAGAACUCUUCAUCAGGAGAAUGAGUCGAUAGCAAAUCGAGGGUAGCUAUAACUAGAAUGGCUUGAUCCUGAUUGGGGAAGGUGUACAAAAGUGCAUCUUCAGGUUUUUCAAUGAAUGUUUUCCAAAUUUUUUGUGUUGGAUCUUCAUCUGGCAUGUUUACUCUUGCAAUUGUUGGCCUGUUGGGGAAGUAGGCAGCAUAUGUGUAUUGGCCAAAGUUUACAGCUGCAUGGUGACCAGAUGCUACCCAAAUGAUAGUUGUUAAGAUUUCAAUCAAAUCCUGAGGGGUUUUCAGGACAUGCCACCAAGGUUCAUCCUUUUUGUCAGCGUGUCCGACAGUUCGAAUUUCAGUCCACCAAGCUUGGAGCUCAUCAUCAGACUCUACAAGACUUUGAUCAGGAUAGUAAUGAUUCACAUAAUCGGUAACCCAUUGUUUUAAGAUACCCCAUAGAUCGAGACCGUCCUUGGCAAAAGGAUAGUCGUCAAUUGUUAGCUUUAAGCCGUGUCGAGCAUUUGGAUCUUCAACGGCCAUUCCCCUGGGUAAUCAAACCCCGAAAAGGAAAAAAAGUUACUCUUUAGAUUGUGUUAUCUCUGUGUGUCUAAACAACCAUUUAGAAAAAAAAAUUAAUGAAAUCCGUUUUACAAUUGAAAUAACUACUUGGAGUUGCUUUGGUAAUGAGGUAAGCCAUGAUUGUUGUGAAUAAAUAGUUAUAGUUGUUAAAUAAAAGUUAAUAUGUUUGAUAAAUAUGAUUUUUAAAAAAUAUUUUUGAUAAAUUAGUGAAGAUGUUAUAAAUUUUUUAUCAAACAAUUAUUUGAUAAAAUCACUUUGCCUUAAUAGUCGCACCUUGUGUUUACCAAAUGGACCCGUAGUGACUUUAUUACCUCUUAAUAAGGUCUUUGGGGAGUGCUUGUUCGUCAAACCGCCAUUGCUUAUCAUAGAUAACAGAACUCAUCUCCAUACAAUAUUCUCCAGGUGAGAAUGUGUUUUCAAUGACUCCACCAGCACUAAUAAGUAUAUCCCGACCUAUAGCAUUGAGCUCCAAUGUGUAUCGAAGAUGAGGAUGCAACAAUCUAUAGAUUGGAUGCAUCACACUGAGUUGUCGAUUGGUAGCAAUUAUGUAAGGUUCUACCACACAAUGACUUCUUAACCUACAAGAGAGAUCGUGUUCAAUAAUUAAUUAAUCACAUGCUCAUUGGAAAAAAAAAAAAGUUCUGAACUAGGAUAAAUUAUUACACAUACCAAUGGCUGACAAGCUGGUGAUAGCCCGAAUCAUGAGCAAGAACAUGAGCUUUGGCUAGCCUCCAAAGCCACGUCUUAGUAGAAUUCCAAGAACCCGGUGUAUACACUUUUCUCCAAUGUGGCUUGUCGUCCAUUGGAGGCCGAGUUAACUCAAUGGCUAGUGGUCUCAACGUGUUAUCUGGAGUUAGGAAGAAUACAGUGCGGGACCCAUACAAGGUCGUGUGUUCGAGCUUCCUCACUUUUUCUACAUAGGGCAGAAAUAGGUCAUGGUAAUCUAACAUGAACAACUUCUUUUGUUCUAUAGCCUGCAUAAAAUUGAAGUUUAACUUACAAAUUAAUUAAUCGAAGUGAAACUCAUAUUUAAUUAUUGAACAUAGAUGAUUUUUCUUAGUGAUUGAUAUAAACAUAAAAUUGGGUGUAUAAUCAGUGUCGAUACCUCUUCAACAGAAAUCAUUGCUCCAAGUUCUUUUUCAAUGAUAUCUUUGGUGAUUGCUGAUUCUUGUGGACCGUAGAUUUUAGGAUCGAGUGAGCUUUUCAAAGGCCAUUCCUGCAUGAAUUUAUGUAAUUUUUAUUCUCCAAUAUACCGAAUCAUUUUUCUGAUACAAUAUUCAUUAAACAGCUUGACUUAGUAGUUUAACCGAUCGGAUAAUUAAUUGUCCACUAUUAAUAUUCACGGCGGCAAAUCUCAAUAUAUAAUACCGUAAUCAACUGUAUGCUGCAUGGGUUGAGACCAGCUAGUGUUUGCCUAGCAAAUUCCUCAUCCCUAAACCAAAAGAAUUUGUCUCCUGCAAAUGACAAAAUACAUAAUGAUUUAGGGUUCGGGCAUCAAAUUCCUGUGUGAGAAAUUAAGAAGAGAUGCUUACUCAGCAUUGCCUCAGGAGCAUCGAACUGGAACACUUCUUCGCCCAUUUCUUUAAGUUUCUUAGCAAACCUGGCAAGUGAGUUUAAGAAACCUGGUUCUGCUUCAGGCAAACUAAAUCCAUCUUCAUUGAAGAGUUCGUCUAUCUCUGUGAAGUAUUCAAAUUUUUUAUCACCAUCGAAGAAUUUUUCGAUGUAUGGUAACGCAGCAUGACACAUUGAUUUAUAGUCUUUCAUAUGAUCAAAUGCUUCCUGCUUUACAUCCGAAAACGUUUCAUCUCUUGGCACAUAAAUAUAUUUAUCUCUUUUCUCCUUCAAAGGAUCUGCCAUUAAUAUUACAAAAUCGUCAAGAAUCAGGAAAAAUCAAAAUCUUUCAACAAACGAAAUAUAUAAUAUUUGUCAAAUCUCCCAACUGAAUUAACUGUUUGGGAGGUUAAAUGUCAUCUAAGUAUGUUCUAAAGAAGUCUAACAUAACAUCUGUAAUGUGCUUCAUCAAUAAAAUCACAUGACAUUGGUACAUUAUCUUUAUGUUUAUUUUUUAAACUAAAAAUUGAUGAAGGAACAACAUAUCAUACUGUACCAGAUUCAUAAUGUGGACGUCCAGUUCUGCAGCGUCUGGGAUAAGGAAAUUUUUUGCCACCAAGCACCGGUCGUCUUUUGUCAGGAUUUCCGAGAUCAUUAUAGACAUCAUAAUCAUAUAUUCUGUCAGAUGGUUGACGUACUCCUUGUCCAUUGCCUCGCAAAUGAUAAAGCUCUUCAAUUCUAAACCUCUUCAAUCCAUCCGGUGUUUGUGAUGGCAAGUACGACUGACGGAGAAAAAAAUGUUUGUAUUAAACAAAACUAAUGCAGUACAAACAAAUGAUAAUAACAAAAUCAUAUGGGCCUAACCUUGUUAGCAAAGAAAAUUCUCUUCGGUUCGUUUUUGUUCUUCGGUUGAAUCCAUGAAUUACAUGUUAUGUUCACAGGAUCACCAUUUGAGAAACCAUCAAGAACAAUAUUCAUCAAAUAGAUCUCAACGUGGUGCUCAUUUUCCACAGACAUUGCACCAACUUCUCCAAAAUCUGAUGGAACGUUGAAUGUUGAUUCAUAUAGUUCAUUUCCAUGCUUAUCUUUGCCUGCUUUGCGUGCAUGAGCAUAGAUGGUUGAUUUCUCUGAUCCCGUAGCUGAAAAAAAUGUGGGAAAGAACAAAACGAUCAAAAACAGUUUUCAUUCUUCCAGAACAUUCUUGAAAUUUUUCAGAACAUGGAGGGAGAGGGGUAAAAAUGUGAAAAAAGAAAAGUUCAUUUCUCAGAUUCCAAAAGUUGACAGUUAGCAGUAAGGUCGUAAUAAUAGUCGUACUAAGCUUUCAAAGAACAUAAAAGACAAGUUACCCAAACUGACCGUAUUACAUUAAGUUACCGCUUCAGUAGCUCUCCGCAUGGUUUUUUUUAUUUUUGCCCUUAAAAAAAUGGCUUCAUAAAAUGUUUUGCAGUACUUACUGUGAUCAAGGUCGGCGCUAACAAGCUCCAAGCGGAGUGUUCUGCCUAGAAAAUAAUCUUCAUAAUCGUCUUUCCAUGUUGCUUUCACAGUGACUACAGCAUUAAUUACGCUGACGGAUUUUUCAGUAGAUGUUGCUAUAGCUUCGAUAUUUUUACUACUAACAUUGUGUCUUUUUGAGUGACAACUAACACGAACUUUGGAUCCUAUUUUAAGUGAAGGACUUGGCUGAACUUGACGAAAAACAUGGCAAUUUCCAUGCAGAAAUGGCUUGGAGAAUGGAAAUAGGACUGUGGUAGGGGUAGAGUACCGAUGAACUUGUGGUUUCAGCAUUUUUUUUUGGUUUUCUGACUAAAAGGAUAUGCUUGAGAUUUUGCUAAAGAAAGAUUGACUUAAUUAUAGGCUAGCUGUGAGAGACUUGGGAGACCGAUCCCCCCUUUAUAUAGAAAUUUUGAGGCAUAGAUGAGAAAAACUGUAUUUGGCAGUAUUAAUUAAUUUCGUCUUUUCUGCUAUUCAUUUCUUGACUUUACUGAUAGCAGGAGAAAUUUUAUGAUACAUCAAAAGUACCAUGUCAGUCAUAUAAUAAGUAAAUAAUGAUGUGAUAUGUAUGCAUUUAUUUUAAAAAAUCAUCAUACAUGUGAUAGUUAUAUUAAAUUCAACUACACAUGUCAUGUAUGCAUCAAUUAGUUGUAAUAUUUCAAAAGUAUUCUAAAAUUUCUCCUGAUAGUAGAUAUGAAGCCACAUGAAAAAUCUAAUAAUUGAUUCAAACCUUUCGCUUAUGGAAAUUUAGAAAUAUUAAUUAAUCUUGUUAUUUUCUUCUAUAAAAUUCUUGAUUUUACACUACUAGCUCGAUAUAUGAGUGCAUACAAAAAGUCUAAUAAUUACAACUGAUCACUUUAGGUAUCUUGAACCUAUUUUCAAUUUGCGAGGAGUUCCAAAUUUGGCUUUGUGUACUGUUUACUUUUCUUUCCCUUUAGGCUGCUCAAUUAUACUCUUUCACUUUAACUCUAUUUCUGGAUAAAAAUAUUAAAAUUAUUUCUGAAAAGUUCUUCUGUCUUGAGCAGAUUUUAUAUGGUUUCUUCAUCACAUCUCGUAGGAAUAAAUAUUUUGUUAUAAUGUAUUGAUAUGGAGUCUGCAAACUUUCUAUUCCCAUUAUUAUGUAAGUAGGUUUUUUGGCUUAUCCUUGUCACGUGGAAAACUAGUGAGAGCUGCAUGGAUUUGGCUUGAUAUAAAAACUCAUGUGCCUGAGUCAUACACAAAUACUAGCUCAAGAGCAGAGAAUUGCCUCAAACUUACAUUAUUGGCACAAUAACAAUUCUCAACCAAUAUAGAUAAUAUCCUCAACACCUCAUUCUAUUUUUCUUUUGUACUAUUGUAGUACAGAAUUAAUUAGAAGGUUUUGGAGUCUGCUUUUUAAUAUAUUAAAAUGCGUCCCAUAUUAAUAUGGUAGUCAAUCAAACUAAAUAUGUGCCUAAAAUUCUAGUUUUAUAUCUUUUUCAUAUUUUCCCGUUUAAUUAGACCUAUUAUUAGGUUUUUCUAAAAUUAAAAGGAAACGUUAAUUAUUAAGAAAAAUUAGAUUAGGUAUACGUUUUAGUUUUCCAUUUUUUUUUCAAUUAUGAUUUGGUUUCCUAUUUGAGUUAAUUUAGGAAAAUGAAGUUAUCUCAUUACAAAGGGCAAAGACUACCUACAUCCCCAAGAUUUGAAAAAAUAGCCAUGCAGACCCCAAGUUUUCAAUAAGGAACAACAAAAAUCCUUUGGACUAUAAUAGCCUUUGUAGAUAGUAACUAAAGAAAUUGACUUUAAAAAUUUUUAAUAGAUACAAAUAUAAUUUAGAUAGUUUAAUUUUUGUGGUAAACUAAUAAUAUUAGAAUAUUUUUUAAUAUAUUAAAUAAAUUUUAAAAUCUAAAUUAUUCUAUUUAUUUUAAUAAUAUAUAUGUAUUUAUUAUAAAAAAUUUUAAAUGAAUCUUUGGUUUAAAUAGAUUCUGCAAUUAAUAAAAUAUAUCUCAUAUAUUAAUAAUAUCAAAAUCAUUUUAUAUAAUAUUGAAAAUCAUUUUUUAUUUAUUUUAAUAUUAUAUUUUUAUUUAUUACAAAAUUUAGUCUAAUAUAAUAUACGAUUGUAAAGUAUUAAAACAUUUUUCAAAAUAUUAAAAUUAUUUUAAAAUAUAUGCAUUGUUAAAUUUAGUUAAAUAUUAUAUUUUUAUUUAUUAUAAAAUAUUGGACUCAAUUUUUUUUGAGUUAAUAUAGCCAAAAGAUAUUAUAAUUAAAAUAGGGUCUUUGUUUCUAAGAAUUUACAAGAUUAUUUUCUUAAAUUUUAGAGGUGCAAGUGGGUUUUUUUUUUUUUUUUUGUCUAUUAUAAAUCCAGACGUAUGUUUUUUAUUGUUUAACAAAGUAUUGAAUCCAAUAAAUUCACGUGUAUCACAUACCUGUACAUUUAUUAUGGACCGAUAAAUUUAGGCUUAGAUGGUUCCAGCUCACGUGCCCAUCAAUGGGUAAUCAGUAGUUGAAGAGUGCCAUUUAAUUGAUCAUGAAUUAAAGUCUUUGCAGAGGACGAUAAAAGUCUUUGCGGAGGACAGGUCCACUACUUGUUUUCUCUGUACACGAGUAACACGAUGCAUGGACCACCACGUUUAUGACAUAAAUAGGUUACCAUCUUGUAACUGUAAAACGACUCACUUAAAUGUUUUUAGCUAAGUUAAUUGAUAUUGGGAUCCCCUAAGUUAUAUUUAACGUACCUUACAUCUAUUUACAUAAAUAAUGUAUGAUGUUAGGUAUAUGAAAUAUAACUUAGAGUUUGAUUUGAUAUUGUUUGGGUGAAUUCAGAGUUCCGAAAGAGUUUUCCCAAGCUUUAUUUUCAUGUAGGAAGAGCAUGUAAUAAUAUUACAGCUAACAAGCACAUCAAAUCUUUUGGCUCAUUCUCUAAAAUUAUUUGAAGGCUAUGGUUUGAAAUUUAGCUCUCAUUAGAGCCCAAGAGUUCCAUGAGGAUCCAUGAUGAUAUUGACCCGGCAAUUAUGUCGAGAUGUGGUGGAUAUACUGGCAUGGAAGCUAAUGAGGCAUUGGGAUCGAGUUAUCACGCGAUAAGAGUAUAUGAACUUACAAGAUCGAUGGCCACCUCUAGACUAACGAGAAAAUCUCUUGGUCAGCUUGGGCCUAUACCGAGAACAAAUUAAACGGAGAGGAUGAAUGAAUGAAUGCGCGUGUCUGAAGUUCAAAGUUGAGUACAUCAACCUGUUGGGAUUACUGAUUUCAAACGUGUACUUAAAAAGAAUAAAACACAGAGUAUGUCCCUAUUCAGAAUUCAGUCCAUAUCAACCUGUUCAGAAUUCAUCCAUUUUUGGCAUAUCCCUAGCAGAAAAUGUUAGGUAGGGCUCAAUAAAACACAGAGUAUUGUUUAAGUCAGUAACUACGGAAAAAUAGUAUAAUCGUAGUUUUUUUUUUUUUUUUAAAUUUGUAAACGUAUAGUCGUAGAGUGAAAUGCUUUAAAUCUAAUGACUGAUUCACAAAAGACAAAAUGGGGUUAGUUACCCCAAAGAACAGACAGCUGGACCCUCCUUUUUUUGGCUACACUACCAAGAAUCAACCCAUCACAUUUCUAUCCCAUUUCGGAGAGAAAAUAAAAAAUAUAUAUAUAUGAAAAUGUUUUAAAUCUGACAACCGAUUUACAACAAGACAAAACGAGGAUAGUUACCCUGAAGACGAAAUAGCUGGACCUUUUAUUUUUUAAUUUUUUAGCUACACUACAAAUAAUCAAGCAAUCAAAAUUGUAUCUCGUUUCGGAAAGAAAGGAAAAAGAAAAGAAAAAAAAAUGUACCUAAAAAUAAAUCACUAUCAAAUAAAUCAUGAGAGUAAUUCCAACAUUAAUUUGUAGUAUUUUCUUAUGCUUAACUCACACGUGUAUUGAAACUCAAACCUGAAACUUGAGUCUUAAGAAAGUCAUUUCUUAUCAUUGAUGCUAAACCUUAACUUCAAAUUCCGAAACAUUCAUUAUUUAGAAUUUUUUUAAAAAAUGAUAUAUUGCUACAAUCAAAGUGAUCUACUGGUCACUAUUAGAAAUUUAAUAAGACUAAUUAAAUUUAGAUUGUGCUAUUUAUUCUACCCACACUUUUAUAAGAAAAAAUAAUAAUAUAUGAGUCUACCUAUAAUUAGAAAGGAAUAGAAAUCUGAACGCCGACAUGUAAGGGCGCCAAUAUAUGCCAAAAAGUGGGUGUAAAUGCUAAUGGCCCUCAUCACAUAAUUGAUUAAGGUAGCGUUUACUUUUUGGAUUGGAUUGGGAAUCCUGGGGAGUGGGAAUCCUAGGAUUGGGAGUGUGGAGUGGGAGUGGGAGUAGGUUGUUUACUUACACUGGAAUGGAAGCAUGGAAUGGAGAUCAGAAUCCAAUUUAUGUGUUUACUUUGUCUUGGAUUGGGAGUAAAUAGUUUCAAAUUACAAUUUUAUCCUUAUUUAAAGAAUUAUAAUUUUUAAUUACAAAACUAAUAAAAAAUAUAUUUAAUGAAUAAUAUUUAUUUUAUUAUAUUUGUAAAUUUAUUAUAAUUAUUAAUAUUCUUAAUUAUGAACAAUAAAUUAUUAAUUGUAAUUUUAAUAUAAAAUGAAAUGUUAUUUUAUUUUAUUUAAUAUAAUUAUAUUAAAUUUAUUAUUAUAUAAAAUAAUAAUAUAAUAUUAUUUAGUACAAAAUUAAUAUUUUCUUAGAAUAAAGUAUUUAUUAUUAUUAUUAAAUAAAUAUAGUACUAUUAUUUUUAAAAUAAAUAUAAUAAUAUUAUAUUUAUUAAUUCUCUAUUAAUAUAAUAAUAUUAUUUUAAAAUAAUUUUAACUUAGAAUCAAUGUAAAUUAUUAUUUAGUUAAAUAUAAUAUUAUUAUUUAAAUAAAUAUAAUAUUAUUUAUUUUAUUUUAUUAAUUAUAAAAUAAAAAAUAAAAAAAAGGGUAGAAAUGGGAGAGGUGUCCCACUCCCACUCCCCACUCCAAAAAUGGGUGGGAUCCACGGAGUGGGACUCCCAAUCCCUCUUCAUUUUAAGUAAGUAAACGCUGGAGUGGGAGGAAUCCACACUCCUUACUCUCACUCCAACAAGUAAACACAACAUAAAGAAAUUCGUCCACUUUGUUUUGUUUUACUCGUUAAAGUCUUCGAAGAAAGGACAACUCCAUCACGUGUAUCACGCGUCAACAUACGACAUAUGGACCAGUAAAAUUAAUAGAUCAAGCUCCCGUGUUUUCACAUACGUGUAAUCGUCCCCUGCAUGCAUACGUGGUCCCUCAACCCUUUGUCCAUUCUGCAAUAGAAACGAUAUAUAAUUAAUGACAACGAUACAUGUGAAACGCGUGUAGAGGACAAUUAAUCUCUUUCAUAUAUACACGCACGUGAUCCUUUACUCGAACGUAACUUUUUUUUUUCAAUAUGGAUAUAUUAUUAAAUCUUAUGAUUUAAUAAAAUUAAUAUAAAUAUAUUAUUAAAUUAUAUACUUUUUAAACACAUUAUUAAAUCGUAUGGUUUAAUAAAAUUAAUAUAAAUACGUUAUUAAAUCAUAUAUUAAAUAUUGAUUCUAUUAAAUUAUAUACUUUAAUAGAAUAUCUAUGCGGAAAAAAAAUUAAGUGUCCUCACCUGAAAAUUUAUAUAUGUAACAUAUAUAUUUGCAUAACCUCUCUAUUUAUUUGAAGAUGGAAGGUAUAAGUUGAAUUCUCUUAGGUUAAUCUCGUCCCGCUUAAGAUUUGGAUUGAGCUAUAUACGAAUAUUUCAGCUCAAUUUUCCUGGUUAGAGUUGAUUUUUCCUUUUUUAACUUGGAAAAUGUGCUCCCCGUUUCUAGGUAGUGUCAGCUCCAAUGGCAAACUCAGGAUUUUAAACUUUUGAGGGGCUUAGUAUAAAUAACAAUACAAUAUCAAAAUUUUUAACAAAAAAAUGUGACAAAAUAUGGUAGGAUCGAUAUGAUGUCCAUAAUUAAAUUAAUAUUCAAGAUCAUUUUGAUGAUUCCUGCUAUGCUCAAUUGUACUUAGUUAAAGUUAAAUCAACUUAGGACAUUCAAAAUGAUCAUGUAUGCGUAUAAUAAAUUGAGCAUGGCACGCAAAAAUUGAGCUUUUGAUUUCAACUAGAAAAUAGAACCGCGCUUCACGCGGCUUUGAAAAAAAAAUUAGUAUUAUUCUUUUUUCUUACUUUACACUUGAUGAAACUGAUAAAAAAUAUGAAUUGAUUUUUUUUUAAUAUAAGACAGUCUUAUAAAAAAAAAGUUAUUAGCCAGCAAUACAAAUAAAAAAAGCAACGCAAGAUAAAGAAUAAAAUCAGAGAGUACAUUAUAGAGUGAUUUUAUUCAUUCUAAUUGUGUGUGUACAAAACAAAAAGAUGAGCUAUCCUUUUAUAGUUACAUACUUACCUCAUGAACUUAAUGAAAAAUUAUGGAUCAUAAUUCCUUGUGAUUUUAUUCAUUCCAAUUGUGUGUGUACAAAACAAAAAAAAUGAGCUCUCUUUUUAUAGUUACAUAAUCACUUCAUGAAAUUAAUGAAAAAUUAUUGAUCAUAAUUCUUUAUGAGAUAGUGAGAGUUAUAGGGAAGUUAAAGGUUGCUAAUGUGAGAUAGUGUGGAGACUAAGAGAUAUAUGUUAUGAACAUCUACAUUUAUUUUAAUAAAUUCAUAACACUCCCCCUUGGAUGUUUAUUACAAAGAAUAUGUCUCAUUAAAACCUUUACAUAAUUGUUAUUGUGUAAUAAUAAUCAAAUUAAUUAUGAGAAUAUAAAAAGUCAAAUCUAAAAGAAAAUUUCUCUAUUUAUUAGAUAAUAGAUAAUAUAUAAAGAUGAGAAAUGGUGAUGCCACAUCACCUCCUCAAGUCUCAACUUUAUAUAUAUACUAGGAAAUAGAACCGCACUUCGUGCGGCUUUAAAAAAAAAUUAGUAUUAUUUUUUUAUUACUUUGUAAUUGAUGAAAUUGAUAAAAAAUAUGAAUUAUUUUUUUUAAAGAUGACGCAGUCUUAUAAAACUAAUGUUAUUUAUAAAAGUUAAUUAUUUUUUGUUAACAUUAAAAAUAUAUAUUAAUGUGUAUAGUUAAGUGUACACAACAUUUUCAUCAAUAAAAAUUAUGUUCACACUAAUCAACUCUCUAUUUUUUUUUUUGUACUAACAGACUCUCACAUCUUACAAAGCCUUACCUUUAUUAUCCAACUAUCUUUAUCAUUAUUUAACUCAUAAAGAAAAUAGUACUCCAUGAAGCAUACAAUACUAAAAAUUUAAAUAAGUCAAAAAAUAAAAACACAAGAACAUUUCUAAAGAGGAUGUUGGUUAAAUAAUAAAAAAAACUCAAACAUAACAAAUCUUAAAUGCUUAAUAUUUAUAGAACUUGAAGAAGGCAAAAGAUACUAAAUAAAAGGUUGCAUAAUUAAAUAUGGGAUUAUGACAUUAAAAUUAGGUCAUAUGGUAUUGGUGAGGGAAGAUGAAGGAACCUUCCUUCCUAUAUUAAUUAGUUGAUGUAUUUUAAAUCACUAAAGUUUAGUUGUUGGCUUAAUAAAAUAAAUGAAUGUUUCAAAACUUAUAAUUAAUUUAUUAUUAAUGGUUACAUAUUGUUGAAUUUAAAUAAAAAGAGGAAGAGACAUGUAAUCUUUUGUAAUCUAUUAAUUAUUUUAUAUUUUUAAUAUUUUGUAAUGUAAUAAUUUUUUAAUCUCAACCAAUAGAUUAGAUAAUAGAAAAUAUAAAAAGAUGAGAAAUAAUAAUGCCACAAAUCUUAACUACUUAAUAUUUAUAGAGUUUGAAGAAGCCAAAAGGCACUAAACAAAAGGUUGCAUAAUUAAAUAUGAGAUUAUAGCAUUAAAAUUAGAUCCUAAUGGCAUUGUUGAGGGAAGAUGAAGGAACAUUCCUUCCUAUAUUAAUUAAUUGAUAUAUUUAAUCCACUAAAAUUUAAUUGUUGGUAUAAUAAAAUAAAUAAAUGUUUCAAGAUUUAUAAUUAAUUAUUAUUAAUGGUUACAUAUUAUUGAAUUUAAAUAGAAAGAGGAAGAGACAUGUAAUCUUUUAUAAUCUAAUAAUUAUUUUUUAUUUUUAAUAUUUUGUAAUGUAAUUAUUUUUUUAAUAUCAACCAAUUUAUUAGAUAAUAGAGAAUACAAGAAGAUGAGAAAUAGUGAUAUUAAUAAUUAUUUUUUAAUUUCAACCAAUUUAUUAAAUAAUAGACAAUAUGAAAUCAUGAGAAAUGGUGAUGCCACAUCACCUCCUCAAGUCCUAACUUUAUAUAUAUAUAUAGAUAUAUAGAUAUAGAUAGAUAGAUAGAUUAAUUCAUGUAUUUUAUGCCACUAAAGUUUAAUUGCUAGCAUAAUAAAAUAAAUAAAUGUUUCAAAAGACUUAUAAUUAAUUAUUAUUAAUGAUUACAUAUUGUUGAAUUUAAAUAGAAAGAGAAAAAAAAAGUACAAAGAAUAUCCACCAAUAGUUUAGAUAUUUUAUAUAAUAAAAAAUAUAAAAAGAUCAGGAAUGAUAUUUAUUAAUAAAGUUACUAUUUAUUAAAUGAGUUAAAUACAAUCAAAUUAAUUAUAAGAAGAUGAAAAGGCAAAUUUUAAAAAAAAAUCUCUAUUUAUUAGAUAAUAGAGAAUAUACAAAGAAGUAAAAUGGUGAUGCCACAUCACCUCCUCAAGUCCUAGCUUUAUAUAUAGACUAGGAAAUAAAACCGCGCUUCGCUCGGCUUUAGAAAAUAAAUUUAAUAUUAUUAAUUUUUUUCUUUACACUCGAUAAAACUGAUAAAAAAUAUAAAUUAAUUUUUUUUAAAUGAGACAGCCUUAUAAAACUAAUGUUAUUUAUGAAAGUUAACUACUUUUUUGUUAAAAUUAACAAUAUAUAUUAACGUGAAUAGUUUAAGUGUACAGACCUUAUACCUUUUGUAGUUGAUAAGUUCCAAAUUAAAUUUAGUAAUUGAGGAUCCUUAGCAAUGCGUUGAAUUAUAAAAGAAAUAACUAAAAUACAUGUAAAGACUUUUACUAACUUGCACAACGUUGGAGAUGGUAGAAAAUCUUUCAAUUAAUGAUGCUACAUAAUCUAUUUAAAGAUUUAUGUAGAUUUUGUUUGCACUUGUGGCAGAGAAAUUAAUCUCACCUGUUUAGAGCAAAUGUAACCUAAAACGAAACUUGAACAAAAUCCAAAAUUGUGUAUAAUAUUAAAACAGCCACAUUGCAUUUGAAAAUGUUAAUUAGUGGGAUCUAAAUAAAAUAAUCACCUUGGAAUUUUUUAAUGGUUGUAGAAGUUACUAUCACAAUACAAGGACCCUCGUCUUUCUUGUACAAGUUUGGAUCAAACAUCUCCCCUAACUUUCCCCAUAAAGUAAUCUUUGUUGUUACCGAGUUAUCCAUAAAAAUUAACAAAAGUUAGUAAUGUAAAGAGAACCAAUAAUUAAAAAAUAACAUAAAUAACUAAAAAAUAUAAAGUCGUAGUUUUCUUGAUUAUAUUCAACUUACUAAUCCGUUAGAAUUUUUAUAUCUCUUUUUUUCCAACCAGCUCCAACGAUCUCAAUAUCACCCACACCACAUAAACUUCCGAUAACAUCUGUAAUAUUAUGGAAAAAUAACAUAAACAUGUUAAAACAUAAGAAUUAAUAAUUUCUAAUAUACGCUUAAAGAUUAACAAACAUUAAUAAUUAAAAAAAUACCUGAGAGGAUUGUGUUAUCAUUCACACGUAAAUCAAUCAAAUUCGGAGAUACGAAUUGAAAUCCAUUAAUCGGAAUCUUGACAGUUCCUUCUUCUAACCUCUUAAGAGAAGUUAUAACCAAGAAAAUAAUCUUAUACUGAUUUGAAAGUGGUCUGUACUCGUCUGUAGUUGAAACAACUUUCAAAUUCUUGACAUUGUACAAAGAACCCUCACUCAACAUGUGCUUAAACCUUGUCACUAAAGUUUUCCUGAUUGUUGCAUGCAUUAGAUUUUCCUACGAAAAAAAAACACAUACUACAUUAAGUGUGAAACAAUUGGGAAAAAAAAAUUAGAGAAAACAAUGGGAGAAUGAAUUUUUUAUACAACCUUUUCAUCAAUAAAAAUCAUGUCAACACUAAUCAAUUCUCCAUUUUUUUUAGUAUUAGUAGACUCCCACAUCCUACAAAGCCUAACCCUUAUCAUCCAACUAUCUUUACCAUUGUUCAACUCAUGAAGAAAAUAGUACUCCAUGAAGCACAAUACCAAAAAUUCAAAUAAAUCAAACAAUAAAAAUACAAGUAUUUUUCUAAAGAGGGUGUUGAUUAAAUAAAUUAAAAAAAACUAAACAUAACAAAUCUUAAAUAUUUAGUGUUUAGAGAGCUUGAAGAAGCCAAAAGGCACUAAACAAAAGGUUGCAUAAUUAAAUAUGAGAUUAUGGCAUUAAAAUUAGGCUCUAGUGGCAUUGUUGAGGGAAGAUGAAAGAACCUAUCUUCCUAUGUUAAUUUGUUGAUGUAUUUUAAGUCACUAAAGUUUAAUUGCUAGCAUAAUAAAAUUUGAAGGAGCCAAAAGACACUCAACAAAAGGUUGCAUAAUUAAAUAUAUGAUUAUGGCAUUGAAAUGAGGCCCUAGUGGCAUUGUUGAGGGAAGAUGAAAGAACCUAUCUUCCUAUGUUAAUUAAUUCAUGUAUUUUAAGCCACUAAAGUUUAAUUGCUAGCAUAAUAAAAUAAAUGAAUGCUUCAAAAGACUUAUAAGUAAUUAUUAUUAAUGGUUACAUAUUGUUGGAUUUAAAUAGAAAGAGGAAGAAACAUGUACAAAGAAUAUCCACCAAUAUUUUAGAUAUUUUAGAUAAUAGAAAAUAUAAAAAGAUGAGGUUGAGGGAAGAUGAAAGAACCUUUCUUCCUAUGUUAAUUAGUUGAUGUAUUUUAAGGCACUAAAGUUUAAUUGAUAGCAUAAUAAAAUUUGAAGAAUGUUUCAAAAGACUUAUAAUUAAUUAUUAUUAAUGGUUAUAUAUUGUUGGAUUUAAAUAGAAAGAGGAAGAGACAUUAAAAUUAUUAAAAUUAAAUUUAGGCCCAUAAUUAAAUAUAAGAUUAUGGCAUUAAAAUUAUGCCCUAGUGGCAUUGGUGAGGGAAGAUGAAAGAACCUCUCUUCCUAUGUUAAUUAAUUCAUGUAUUUUAAGCCACUAAAGUUUAAUUGCUAGCAUAAUAAAAUAAAUGAAUGUUUCAAAAGACUUAUAAUUAAUUAUUAUUAAUGGUUACAUAUUGUUGGAUUUAAAUAGAAAGAGGAAGAAAUAUGUACAAAGAAUAUCCACCAUUCUUCCUAUGUUAAUUAGGUGAUGUAUUUUAAGGCACUAAAGUUUAAUUAAUAGCAUAAUAAAUUUUGAAGAAGCCAAAAGACAAUCAACAAAAGGUUGCAUAAUUAAAUAUGGGAUUAUGGCAUUAAAAUUAGGCCUUAGUGGCAUUGUUGAGGGAAAAUGAAAGAAUCUCUCUUCCUAUGUUAAUUAAUUCAUGUCUUUUAAGCCACUAAAGUUUAAUUGCUAGCAUAAUAAAAUAAAUAAAUAUUUCAAAAGACUUAUAAUUAAUUAUUAUUAAUGAUUACAUAUUGUUGAAUUUAAAUAGAAAGAGAAAAAAAUUACAAAGAAUAUCCACCAAUAUUUUAGAUAUUUUAGAUAAUAGAAAAUAUAAAAAGAUGAGAAGAUGAAAAAUUAAUCACUCCAUUGAAUUAAUGAAAAAUUAUGGAUCAUAAUUCCUUAUGAGAUAGUGGGAGUUAUAAGGAAGCUAAAGGUUGCUAAUGGGAGAUAGUGGGGAGACUAAGAGAUAUAUGUUAUGAACAUCUACAUUUAUUUUAAUAAAUUCAUAACACUCCCCCUUGGAUGUUCAUUACAAAGAAUAUGCCUCAUUAAAAUCUUUACAUAAUUUUUAUUGUGUAAUAACAAUCAAAUUAAAUAUGAGAAGAUGAAAAUCCAAAUCUAAAAAAAAAAUUUCUCUAUUUAUUAGAUAAUAGAGAAUAUACAAAGAUGAGAUAUAGUGAUGCCACAUCACCUCCUCAAGUCCUAACUUUAUAAAUGAAAGAACCUCUCUUUCUAUGUUAAUUAAUUCAUGUAUUUUAAGCCACUAAAGUUUAAUUGCUAGCAUAAUAAAAUAAAUAAAUGUUUCAAAAGACUUAUAAUUAAUUAUUAUUAAUGAUUACAUAUUGUUGAAUUUAAAUAGAAAGAGAAAAAAAAAAGUACAAAGAAUAUCCACCAAUAUUUUAGAUAAUAGAAAAUAUAAAAAGAUGAGGAAUGAUAUAUAUUAAUAAAUUUACUAUUUAUUAAAUGAGUUAAAUACAAUCAAAUAAAAUAUGAGAAGAUGAAAAGCCAAAUCUAAAAAAAAAUUAUCUAUUUAUUAGAUAAUAGAGAAUAUACAAAUAAGUAAAAUGGUGAUGCCACAUCACCUCCUCAAGUCCUAGCUUUAUAAAUGAAAGAACCUCUCUUCCUGUGUUAAUUAAUUCAUGUAUUUUAAGCCACUAAAGUUUAAUUGCUAGCAUAAUAAAAUAAAUAAAUGUUUCAAAAGACUUAUAAUUAAUUAUUAUUAAUGAUUUCAUAUUGUUGAAUUUAAAUAGAAAGAGAAAAAAAAAAGUACAAAGAAUAUCCACCAAUAUUUUAGAUAAUAGAAAAUAUAAAAAGAUGAGUAAUGAUAUAUAUUAAUAAAGUUACUAUUUAUUAAAUGAGUUAAAUGCAAUCAAAUUAAUUAUGAGAAGAUGAAAAGCCAAAUCUAAAAAAAAAAUUCUCUAUUUAUUAGAUAAUAGAGAAUAUACAAAGAAGCAAAAUGGUGAUGCCACAUCACCUCCUCAAGUCCUAGCUUUAUAUAUAUAUAUAGAUAUAUAGAUAGAUAGAUAGAUAGAUAUAUAUAUAUAUAUAUAUAUAUAUAUAUAUAGAUAGAUAGAUAAAUAGAUUUGUCAAACUUGAAAAGCUCAAUCUCAAUAAUAAUAAAACAAGAAGAGCAUCAAAAAGGAUGAAGAGCAUUAACAAGGAGUCAAGGAUCAGUUAUACUUUCAAAUUUUAAAAACAUGCAAAAAAAUAUAUAUAACAACUAGGUUGGAGGAAGAAUUGAUUAACGAAGCAAAAUUUAAAUGCGACAUCCAUAUACAUCUUCAUCUGAUCAUUAAAUAAAUACUCAAAGAGUAUAUAUUGACACUAAUUAUUCAGGAUUUAAGGCCUAUUUUCUAAAUAGAUAAAUCGUGAGUAAAGAGUCCACAUUAUUGUUUAGGAGGAAAUUACUAAGCUUCACUAGUUUUGUUUUAAACUUACAAUAAUUGUUAAGAGGAAAAGAAUUAAAAUUCACCACAGAUAUGGGAAAUCCUAGUUUUUUUGUUCUUGAUAUGGAAACCAUAGCUUUUCUAGUUCGUAUAAAGAGAAUAAAAGAGACAAAAUUAACCAAGGUCCUCGGUUCGAGACUUGGGAAUACAGUUGCGUUAAAUACUUGUUGGGAGAGCUUUGUCGUCCUAGUGGUCCUACCCGGCUCGAAUCUGGAUUAGUCGAGGUCUAAUGUGGUCUUUGGAUACCAGAUGGUUUAAUACACCAAAAAAAAAAGAGACAUAAUUAAGAAUGAUGAAUUGAGGCUGAAAUAGUGAUUAAGAAGCCAAAAAUAGUGAGGCACUUUUGAAAUAUUUAAUUGUAACACGACAAUACACAUCAAUUGAGUUUAAAGAUAACAAACAAUAUGCAUCAAUUGAGUUUAAAGAUAAUAAAAUGAAGUGUUAUAUAUAUAUAUAUAGACCUUCUCUCAUGCGGGCGCCCUCAUUUUCUUUUUAUGCAGACACGUUAUUAAGCCAUAUAAUUUCAUAAAGUCAGUAUAGACACGCUAUUAAAUCACAUGAUUUUAUAGUAAAUUAAAUACGAACUCUAUUAAACCAUAUAUAUGCUUUAAUUAAGAGUCUAUAAUAAGGCGGUUGCACCUGAAAAUUUUUCUCUCUUUUUAUAUAUAUAUUGAUGAUUAUAGUAAUCAAUAUUAUAUUGAUCCUAAAGAGUAUGAUCACCUUUUCAAAUAACACUCACAAAAAAAAAAAAGUAAUUUAAAUCGGGCUCAAAUCUUCUCUUGAUCUGAUCACCAUCUAAACUUUUGAUGAUCAUAGUUUAUUUCUAAUUAAUUGUUUAUUUAACUACUCACAAAACAUGUAUUUUUGUCCCUUACUUUUUAAAAUUCGAUGAAAUUCCAUCUCUUUAUCUCAAAAUUGUCAAAUACACAAAAAAAAAAAAAAACUAAUCUUCAACAAUAGAAAACAUCAAAAUGGAGAAAGCCCGAAGUUUCAUUAAUUUGAUGUGAUAAUCGCUUAGGCCGUAUUGAUUCAAUAUUGAUCUCUUCGUUGUUGAAAUUAAUAAUAUUCUUAUGCCAAUAGUUUUCUUAUUCAUUGAAACUCCGAUGCUCCCCAUAUCGAAACCUGCUAGAGAUCACGAAGAAGAGUAAUAACAGGGAUCAGUUAUACUUUACAAUUUAAAGCAUAACAAAAAAUAAAAACUAGGGUGGAGGAAGAAUUAACAUUUGUUCAGAAUAUAAGGAAAAAUUAAGGAUGUGUUGACAAAAAUUAUAUUUGGACAAUUUCACCCUUUGGUAUUGUGGUUUCAAUAUUCAGUAUAAAAUAAAAUUUUUUUAAAAAAAAACUAAGCUUUAAUGUAAUCCAAUCUAUUAACUAAAUAAGUAACAAAUUAAUUAUUAUAAAUUAUACUUAAAUUUAUCGAAACUGACAAGCAUGAAGAGCGUGACUGGACAAAUUAUUCGAGCGUCGUUUAUCAUUAUAUAAGCAAACGAUCUGACAUCCACUUGCAAGAAAUGGAGACGACAUGAGAUCCAAAUCAAUUUUUGAAACCGAUCGACAUGUGUAAAAAGUAAGCUUUAAUGUAAUUUAAUCUAUUAACUAAAUAAUCAGCAAAUUAAUUACUGUAAAUUAUACUUAAAUUUAUCGAAAUCAACAAGCAUGACGAGUGUGACUCGACGUAUCAUUCAAAUGAUGCGUCGUUUAUCAUUAUAUAAGCAAAUAACAUGACAUCAACCUACAAGAAAUGGAGACGGCAUGACAUCUAAAUCAAUUUUCGGAAUCGACAAGCAUAAAGAUAUGUGCCAAUGCAUCAAAUGGAUGACGCGUCAUUAACCCUUCAUAAAGUAAUGACAUCACGUUCGCCAAUAUAACAAAUCGCUAGUUUAUUGUUAUCCUCCAAUUCUGGAACUGACAAGCAUAACCAGUAUGCACCCAUGCAUUGAUUUAACGACGAGACGUUUAUCAUUUUAUUAUCAAACGAUAUGUCAUUCAUGUAUUUAACUUGCAAACGACUUGUCAUCCCUUUGCUGAGCCUGAAAAAUGGUAAACAAAAUUAUGAAGCCGUAUUUCAUAAUUGGGUGUCUCAAACAAUUUCCAAUAGCCUUAAAAGUGACUAUAGUUUAGUUUAUCUACAACAAAAUGUCUAACUUCCCUUCCCCUUGUAUUUGUGAUUUUCACCAAAUAGAUUAUUAACUUUGAUGCUUUAUACAUAAUUAUCCACUUAUUGAUAAAUUAUAGAGUAAGAAUAUAACUAUAAACUUUUGUACAAAUUUUUUUUUGUACAAAAUGAUGUGACAUGAUUUAAUUAGUUGGAUUAAAUAUCUAUUGGUUCACAUGAUUUGUAUUUUUAUUCAACCAAUGAGUUUAUGACAAAUCGAUUUGUACAGUAAUUUGUGACUGUAUUAUCACUCUAAAUUAUACGUUGAUAGCUUCUAAACUUUAGUAACCAUUGUUGGCUUGUCAAUCCAAUUGAAGUGCCUACAUGAUCCACAAUCUUUUUCAUCUUCCUUUGAACUACAAUUAAUAUUUAAAGUUAUAAAGAUUAAAAACCUAACUAUUCUCUUUAUAUUGAAACAUCUUCUUUGUGUAUGUGUUGGAACAUCUUUUUUUUUUUUUAAGGAUUACUUGACUUUAGGAGAUUUCUUAAACUUAAUUUUAUUUUUUAUUAAGCUUUUCAUGUUUAUGGAUAUUAUGUUCAUUUUAUUAUUUUAAUUAGCUGUAUUUAUUUAUCAUCAAAAUCAAUCAUAUCAGAAUAACAAAAUAAUUUUCAUUUACAAAAAUUAGAGGCCUUGCGAGAUUAAAAGAGGGUUUUGAAUCUGUGAUUUUUUAUUUAUUUUUUUAUUAUUUUUUUUGGGGGGGGGGAGCUAAACUGUCAAGAUUUGCUUAAUUUGAUUAUAAAUAUUGGAAUAUAAUGAGUUUUUUGGGUUUCAUAACUGAUAAGGUUAGGCAUUAGGGUAAAGAGUCCACAUAUCCAACUAAGACACUUCUUUUUAUGUGUUUGAUAAGAAAUUUUAAGGACGGCCAAUAGCUCAACUAAACUUGAAAAGCUUAAAAAGGGCUAUAAAAGCAUUUCAAGGCCCAUAAUGGGUCAACCACUUGGGCUUAGCCCAAGUGGCUCGAACCCCCUCCCUCACAAAUUAGCCCAAGUGGCUAGAGCCCCUCCCUCACAAAUGUGAGGGAAGGGGUUCGAGCCUCCGCAGUCGCAUUGUAGGGGUUUAAUUUAAAUAUUCUUCCUUGGAGUCCUUGAGCUCGAGUGAAGACAGUCUUUCUCCCAGGAUGAGAGUUUGACAUCCCUCGAAUAUUUGAGAGGGUUAAAAAUCUGAGCGGUGUCAUAUCAGCAUUCAUAUCAAUAGGGCUCAGUAUAAAUAUAUGAUUGUACAUAUCAAUUAUACUCUCAUGUAAUAUGAGUUGUAAUUUGAACUGUAAUUUGAGCAAUAGUCUCAUGUAAUCAAAAAAAAAAAAAAAGGCCCAUAAUGGGUCCUCUUCGGCUCUUCCCCUAACCCCAAUUUAUAUUAAGUCUUUAAUUAGUGGAGCUAUUAGCACCAUCUAAUAAUCUCAUAAACCCAUAUUCUGAAUGCAUCCCUGAUUAAAGAACUAAAAUUAUUCAAUUUACUAAUAACACUCAUUUAAAUUCCUUAAAUAGUCUGAACGUCUUCUUUCUCAUUGAACCUUAAAGUAACUUUUAAAAAUUAAAAACUCUCAUGACCAGUAUUAACAUUUUAACUGGAUAUAGAAGUCUUAUUAAAAAUAAAAAUAGAUAAAGAAGUCAAUAAUCAUAAUUUUUCAUAGGCAAUAAAGAAACUUCAAAUAAGAAGCCACCAUGACUAAUGACCCUAGUCACCUACACUCUUCCUUAAUUGGCUUUUCAUUUCCCUAUUUAUUUUAUAUUCAUUUUAAACUUGGAAAAAGCUUUCAUAUGGGCCUCUAAUUGAUCCAAACAAAGCAGGCUCGUUGCUUUAUCACUCAAUUCGGUCUCUCUCACUCUUUUUUUUUUUUUUUUUUUUGAGGGAGGAAAAUAAUUCGUUCCCCUUAAAAAUAUAAGGUGCAUAGAAUUUUUGUGAUUUCAAUCAAGAUUAAAUGUCUAAAUAUAUAGCAGUGGAGUUUUAUAAGAAUUUUUGACAGGUGCCAAUACUAUCACUCGUUCUUAAAAAAUUCUUUAUUUUAUUGCAUUUAAAUCAAGAUUAUUUUUCUAUUGUAAUUAAAUAUUGUAUAACGAGUUAGAAUUAUUGGUUAAUUUCAAGUAACUAAUGCAUAAUUGUUGAUUAAGUGAUGCUACUGAAGAUGUAAGAAUUUGAUCCAUAUGUUAGUUGGUUGAAUUCCCCUUCUUCAAAGUUUUGCACCAAAAUACUUAUUCAAUUCAGAUCUAAAUUUAUUAGGGAUAAAAAUUUAUCAAAUUGUGUUAAAAUUUGAUCAUUAUUAACUAAUAUUUGUAAUGACCUGGGGGUGUUGCGCAUAUUAUCUUGUGUCACAUGACAAAUUAUAUAUAAUUUGAAAUGAAAACUUUGUUGAUGCUUAACACUAGGAUCAUUGGUAAUUAACACGAAAGAUAGAGAAUUAAUUACUUAAUAAUAUAACACCGACAGCAACAAUUAACUGCAAUUUAUUUUAUUCAUUCUUGAACUCAUUCUCAAAAGUUUUUAUUGACACAACAUUCGAGCGAUUGCAACAACAUUUUCAACUCUAGAUAGAGAUGCUGUACGGAACUCCUUUUCCUGUAACACCAGGUUCCGAAAAUGGCUUCAAGAGCUCAUAUGGCACCAUCCCAGCUCCAUUUCUAUUCCUCAACUUGGGAUCUGCAUUCCUUGCAUCAAUAAUCCCUUCAAGCUCCAUUAACUUGCCUCUAAACUUUUCAAAUGCUGCAUUUAUAACCGGAUCCUCACGCCAUGCUGGCUCUAUUUCUUUUCCUAAAUACUCCUCAUCAGGAGAAUGAGUCGAUAAAACAUCAAGAAUAGCCAUAACUUUAGUAGCUUGAAUCUGGGAAGGGAAGGUAUUCAAAAGUGCAUUUUCAGGUUUUUCAAGGAAGAAUUUCCAUUGUUCAUCAGAUGGAUCUUCAGUGGCAAUGUUGCAUCUUGCAGUGGUUGGCCUAUUGGGGAAAUAGCCUCCGUAAAUGUAUUGGCCGAAGUUAACAGCUGCGUGGUGACCAGAUGUUACCCAAACAAUAGUUGUGAUGAUUUCAAUUAAAUCCUGAGGGGUUUUCAAGACAGGCCACCAAGGUUCAUCUUUCUUGUCACCGUGUCCCACAGUUCGAAUUUCAGUCCACCAAGCUUGGAGCUCUUCAUCAGAUUCUACAAGGCUUUUAUCAGGGUAGUAGUGAUUAACAUAAUCGGUAACCCAUUGUUUUAUGGCAUCCCAGAGAUCAAGGCCAUCAUUGGCAAAAGGAUAGUCUUCAAUUGUUAGCUUCAAGCCAUGUGGA
rnacentral:lncRNA from 1 species